rnacentral:rRNA from 1 species
GGGGAAUCUUGGACAAUGGGGGCAACCCUGAUCCAGCGACGCCGCGUGGGUGAUGAAGGCCUUCGGGUUGUAAAGCCCUUUCACCGGGGACGAUGAUGACGGUACCCGGAGAAGAAGCACCGGCUAACUCCGUGCCAGCAGCCGCGGUAAGACGGAGGGUGCUAGCGUUGUUCGGAAUCACUGGGCGUAAAGGGCGCGUAGGCGGCGUCGCAAGUCGGCUGUGAAAGCCCGGGGCUCAACCUCGGAGGUGCAGCCGAGACUGCGGUGCUCGAGGCCGGAAGAGGAGGGUGGAAUACCCAGUGUAGAGGUGAAAUUCGUAGAUAUUGGGUGGAACACCGGUGGCGAAAGCGGCUCUCUGGUCCGGUACUGACGCUGAGGCGCGAAAGCGUGGGGAGCAAAC